rnacentral:rRNA from 1 species
UACGUAGGGCGCGAGCGUUGUCCGGAAUUACUGGGCGUAAAGAGCUUGUAGGUGGUUUGGCGCGUUGGGCGUGAAAACUCACAGCUCAACUGUGGGCGUGCGGGCGAUACGGGCAGACUAGAGUACUGCAGGGGAGACUGGAAUUCCUGGUGUAGCGGUGGAAUGCGCAGAUAUCAGGAGGAACACCGGUGGCGAAGGCGGUUCUCUGGGCAGGUCCUGACGCUGAGGAGCGAAAGUGUGGGGAGCGAACAGG